UGGCUCAUUUUCCCUUCCAUCUGCUUUACCAAAGCCCUGCUGCACUUUGCUGUGAUGGACUUGUUGCUGCGAGAGGCUGACAUUCUCCUGCACCAGCAAAAGCAACAGCCUUCACCGUUGCCCUGAGUAUAGAGGCUGCAGCUGUGGGUCGCCUUGCUGCCAACGCUGGCCCCGCUUCUCCUGCAUGUCAGCCAGUGGGCCAAGCUCCUUUAUCCCACCCUGUAUUUCCCCUAGGUCACUGCAGCUUCAUCUCAAAGCAAGUGGCAAGCCAAGGACCGGCAGCACCGUUGGCAGAGCCUUUCUUCUGUUGCAAGGCUUUGGCUUAUGCAUUCACUCAUAGACCAAACAUGACUUUUUCUUUGGGAGACCUGAGCCAGAAGAGUGGCUUGAAAGCUGCCCAGCAGAAAAGGACCUGAGGGUGUUGGUCGACAGCCAGCUGAACAUGAGCCCAGUGUGCCCAGGUGGCCAAGGCGGCCAACAGCAUCCUGGCUUGCAUCAGGAAUAGUGUGGCCAGCAGGACUAGGGAAGUGAUCGUCCCCCUGUACUUGGCACUGGUGAGGCUGCAUCUCAAAUACUGUGUUCAGUUUUGGACCCCUCACUACAAGAAGGACAUUGAGAUGCUGGAGCGUGUCCAAAGAAGGGCAACAAAUGAAGCUGGUGAAGGGUGUAGAGCACAAGUCUUAUGAGGACCCGUGGCUGAGGGAACUGGGGUUGUUUAGUCAGGAGAAAAGGAGGCUGAGGGGAGACCUUAUCGCUCUCUACAACUACCUGAAAGGAGGUUGUAGCCAGGUGGGUGUCAGUCUCUUCUCCCAAGUAACAAGUGAUAGGACAAGAGAAAAUGGCCUCAAGUUGCACCAGGGGAGGUUUAGAUUGGAUAUUAGGAAAAAUUUCUUCACUGAAAGGGUUAUCAAUCAUUGGAACAGGCUGCCCAGGGAAGUGGUUGAGUCAACACCCUUGGAGGUAUUUAAAACAUGCGUAGAUGUGGUGCUUAGGGACAUGGUUUAGUGAUGGACUUGGCAGUGCUAGGGUAAUAGUUGGACUUUAUGAUCUUAAAGGUCUUUUCCAACCAAAACAACUCUAUGAUUCUCUGACUCCAGCUCUGCACACACUGCUAGUCCUUGCCUGCUGCAUGGCAGUCUCCUUUCUGAUUUCUUUCUGUACGUACUCAAGCCCAAGAAAAGAAAGACUGUGCAGGACUCAGAUGAUACUACAGGAGAGCCAGCAGCAAGACUGGUCUUUGCAGUAGGCAGCAUUCGCUGCUGUGAAGAAACACACUUUUCCAUAGCACC